AACGAACGCUGGCGGCAUGCCUAACACAUGCAAGUCGAACGAUGCCUCCGGGCAUAGUGGCGCACGGGUGCGUAACGCGUGGGAAUCUGCCCUUGGGUUCGGAAUAACUCGCCGAAAGGCGAGCUAAUACCGGAUGAUGACGUAAGUCCAAAGAUUUAUCGCCCAAGGAUGAGCCCGCGUAGGAUUAGCUAGUUGGUGGGGUAAAGGCCCACCAAGGCGACGAUCCUUAGCUGGUCUGAGAGGAUGAUCAGCCACACUGGGACUGAGACACGGCCCAGACUCCUACGGGAGGCAGCAGUGGGGAAUAUUGGACAAUGGGCGAAAGCCUGAUCCAGCAAUGCCGCGUGAGUGAUGAAGGCCUUAGGGUUGUAAAGCUCUUUUACCCGGGAUGAUAAUGACAGUACCGGGAGAAUAAGCACCGGCUAACUCCGUG
rnacentral:rRNA from 1 species